rnacentral:rRNA from 1 species
CGAAAGCCUGACGGAGCAACGCCGCGUGUGGGAAGAAGGCCUUUGGGCUGUCAACCACUUUUCUCAGGGAAGAAGCUCUGACGGUACCUGAGGAAUCAGCCUCGGCUAACUCCGUGCCAGCAGCCGCGGUAAUACGGAGGAGGCAAGCGUUAUCCGGAAUUAUUGGGCGUAAAGCGUCCGCAGGGGGCGCAUCAAGUCUGCUGUUAAAGGUCGGAGCUCAACUCCGGUAGAGCAGUGGAAACUGGUGCGCUAGAGGGCGACAGGGGUAGAGGGAAUUCCCAGUGUAGCGGUGAAAUGCGUAGAGAUUGGGAAGAACACCGGUGGCGAAAGCGCUCUACUGGGUCGCGCCUGACCCUCAGGGACGAAAGCUAGGGGAGCG